GGAGAGGAUGCCAAUAGGCACCCCAGAGGUGACAGGACAGUCUGAACCCCCACCCUGGCAGAAGGGAGCUUGACAGCUCUGGGGCUCUCUGGGAAUGUCACUGCUAAAAUGGAUAUUUAUAUAUAUAUUAACCAUUCAUGGGAGGGCAGGGGCAGGGCCUGGGGUGGGAUCGGAGGAUCUGGCAUCGCAUCCUGUAGCUGGUCAUGCCUACCUGAGAGGCCUGGAGGAAACCAAAGUGGUUUAAAACAUUUAAGUGUGCUUCUUCAGAAAAAGUUUUGUCUCCCCACGCCACUUUUUAUUUAAACUAAAAAUAAUUUCUUGUUAGUGACUGCUUUGCAUUUAGACAGAGUGAUUGAUAACAAUUUAUAGGGGAUUUUGUUGGGGUGAAAAGCACACUGACAUGCCACCGCUGUUUAUUGGAGUGCGAUUUCACGUGCAAAUGCAAAAACAUUAAAAAUGUUAUUGCUCCUUAUGUGCAUAUGCGGCAGCGCUCCUCGAGGGGGCACCAGCUGCGGGAAGUCUGUUCCUUGCAGACCCCUGACCACGCGAUGAAUGAAUAAAGUACACUGACACACAGAUAUUCUGCUCUGCCAGUCCAGCUGAGGGUCCAAGCCCCUUACAGGCUCCCUGCUGAGCCCUGUAAACAGUUGCGACUCGGCAGGGAGCCUGUAAGCACCUGGGACCCUCAGAAUAUCUGUGUGUCAGCGUACUUUAUUCACCGGUCAUUGGGUCAGGGGUCUGCAAGGGACAGACUCCCCACAGCUGGUGACCCCUCGAGAGGAGCCCUGCCCCCAGCUGGUGCCCCAUGUGAGGCGCUGUGUGAGGAACUGUGUGAGGAAUGCUGUGAAGGAAACGCGACGAACCGCCCGAAAACGAAGGGCAAAGCGGCUGAGAUCUUUGAACUCCCUUUGAACUUUGAGAAUGGUGACUGGAAGAUGACAAUUCAUGUUGUUUUCAGGAAAGCUAUGACCGAGAAACCAAGGAACUCACUAUCUUGUCCUCUUGGAUGCCAGCUAUAAAUUGAAUCAAGUUGGACACCGGAAUUUUGACCACUUUCCACCUUUCUAUCGUGGUCAGGUUUCUUCAUGAGAAGAGGAGAUUCGGUCACAGGCAUGUACAGAAGAAGACUGUGUGAAGACACAGAAGAAGUUAUCUACAAACCAACGAGAGAGGCUUCAGAAGAAACCAACAUUGUUGACACCCUGAUCUUGGAUUUCUAGACUCAGGAAUUAUGAGAAAAUAAAUUUUUAUUGUUUAAGCCACC
rnacentral:lncRNA from 1 species